rnacentral:lncRNA from 1 species
AUGAAGGGGACGGAAGCACGUGGUGAUCUUCAGAAACCUGUGACGUCACUUCCUAUCACUUGGCCUAUCACUCACCCCAGGUUAAGCAAUCCAGAGAGUGACCCCAUGUCCUCCCAGGAGCAAGUCUGCUGCUGCAGCCUUCAAGCAUGUGUUUGCCCCCUAAUAACGCUGGCAGUGAUUUUUAUUAUGUGCUUGGUCCUUGGAGGAGUGUAAGACAAUGUAUUCCAGAAUCCUCAGUUGCAAAGAUGGGGGAACUUCCAGCCAGAGAAGCCAAGAGCCUUGCCUAAAGUCACACAGCUGAGUGGCCUCAUUACAAACAGAACCCAGGAUUCUGGGCCCCACUCCUAAUCAUCCCUUAUCCUUUCCUAAAGUUCCACCUGUGCAUCUUUUCUCGCUUUAGAAAUUCUUAAUUUAUUAGCCACUGGGAGGUUAGAGGGAUUUGGAAAAUGGAGAUUAGUUGAAUUCAAAAAAAUGUUCAUUGGGCCAAUAAUCAGCCUACCAACUCAUUCAGUUGCAUAACAAGGAGAAUAAUGGCCCCCAAAGAUGUCCACGUCCUAAUUUUACACAAAUGAUUAAAUUAAGGACCUUGAGUUGGAGAGAUCGUCUGGGAUUAUCUGGGUGAGUUCAGUCUAAUCACAGGCAUCCUUUAAGUAAAGAAAAAUUUAAGGUCAGAGAGAGAAAGAUGAGGUGAUGCAAGAAGGGACAGAGAGCUCUGACAUUGCUGGUUUUAAAGGUAAAGGAAAGAGGCCAGAAGUCAAGGGGUGUAGACCAUGUCUAGACGCUGGAAAAGACAAGGGCAUGGUUUUUCACUUGGAGACUCAAGAAAGGAACAAAGCCCUGAAAAGUCUUCCAUUUUCCCCAGUGAGACCCAAGUUGAACUUCUGAUCCUUAGAAAGAAUUGUAAGAUACUAAAUUGGUAUAGUUUUAAGCCACUAAGUUUGUAGAAAAUUGUAAAAGCAGUAUGAAACUAAUACUAUAUCAUCAAAGUCCCAAUAACACUCCACACCCCUGUUUAUUUUCUCCUUUCUUUCCUUCAAAAAGAAGGAAAAGAAAUCACUUGUAGCUAAUUUUUAGGCUCAUUUGAAGCUCCACUUUGAGAUAAAAUCAGCCCUAAUAGUGAAGUAUCUAGAGGAAAACUUCGAAUACAUUAAGCCAUUGUAGUUCAGGGUACAGGGAGUGACACAGACAUUUUGUUGUAGCCCUUCUACAUUUU